AGCGAACGCUGGCGGCGUGCUUAACACAUGCAAGUCGCGCGGGUGGUUUCGGCCAUCAGCGGCGGACGGGUGAGUAUCGCGUAGGAAUGUAUCCCGAGGUGGGGGACAACCCUGGGAAACUGGGGCUAAUACCGCGUGGGGCCUGUGGGUCAAAGCCUUAGGGCGCCUUGGGAGCAGCCUGCGUCCGAUUGGGUAGUUGGUGGGGUAAAGGCCUACCAAGCCUGCGAUCGGUAGCUGGUCUGCGAGGACGAUCAGCCAGACGGGGACUGCGACACGGCCCAGACCCCGACGGGAGGCAGCGGUGGAGAAUAUUGGACAAUGGGCGCAAGCCUGAUCCAGCAAUGCCGCGUGGGUGAAGAAGGUCUUCGGAUUGUAAAGCCCUUUCGGCGGGGACGAUGAUGACGGUACCCGCAGAAGAAGCCCCGGCUAACUUCGUG
rnacentral:rRNA from 1 species